GACGAACGCUGGCGGCGUGCUUAACACAUGCAAGUCGAACGGAAAUGCCCUGCUUUUGUGGGGUGCUCGAGUGGCGAACGGGUGAGUAACACGUGAGUAACCUGCCCUUGACUUUGGGAUAACUUCAGGAAACUAGGGCUAAUACCGGAUAGGAGCUCCUGCUGCAUGGUGGGGGUUGGAAAGUUUCGGCGGUUGGGGAUGGACUCGCGGCUUAUCAGCUUGUUGGUGGGGUAGUGGCUUACCAAGGCUUUGACGGGUAGCCGGCCUGAGAGGGUGACCGGCCACAUUGGGACUGAGAUACGGCCCAGACUCCUACGGGAGGCAGCAGUGGGGAAUAUUGCACAAUGGGCGGAAGCCUGAUGCAGCAACGCCGCGUGCGGGAUGACGGCCUUCGGGUUGUAAACCGCUUUCGCCUGUGACGAAGCGUGAGUGACGGUAAUGGGUAAAGAAGCACCGGCUAACUACGUG
rnacentral:rRNA from 1 species